UAGGGAAUAUUAGAAAUGGACGAAAGUCUGAUCUAGCAACACCGCGUGUGCGAAGAAGGCCUUCGGGUUGUAAAGCACUUUUUGGAAGGAUUAGGAAGGAAUGUACUUCCAGAAUAAGUCUCGGCUAACUACGUGCCAGCAGCCGCGGCAACACGUAGGAGGCAAACGUUAUCCGGAUUUACUGGGCGUAAAGCGCGUGUAGGUGGCUCUGUAAGUAGGGCGUGAAAGCUCCUGGCUCAACUGGGAGAGGCCGUUCUAAACUGCAGAGCUAGAGGAUGGUAGAGGGAGGUGGAAUUCCGGGUGUAGCGGUGGAAUGCGCAGGAUGUCCGGAGGAACACCGAGUGGCCGAAAGCGGCCUCCUGGACCAUUCCUGACACUCAGACGCGAAAGCUAGGGUAG
rnacentral:rRNA from 1 species